CUAACUCGUUUUUGGGACUUCGGUUUCAGAGACUAAGCGAAAGUGAUAAGUUAGCCACCUGGGGAGUACGUUCGCAAGAAUGAAACUCAAAGGAAUUGACGGGGGCCCGCACAAGCGGUGGAUUAUGUGGUUUAAUUCGAUGAUACGCGAGGAACCUUACCAAGGCUUAAAUGGGAAUUGACAGGUUUAGAAAUAGACUUUUCUUCGGACAAUUUUCAAGGUGCUGCAUGGUUGUCGUCAGCUCGUGCCGUGAGGUGUUAGGUUAAGUCCUGCAACGAGCGCAACCCCUGUCACUAGUUGCCAUCAUUAAGUUGGGGACUCUAGUGAGACUGCCUACGCAAGUAGAGAGGAAGGUGGGGAUGACGUCAAAUCAUCACGGCCCUUACGCCUUGGGCCACACACGUAAUACAAUGGCCGGUACAGAGGGCAGCUACACAGCGAUGUGAUGCGAAUCUCGAAAGCCGGUCUCAGUUCGGAUUGGAGUCUGCAACUCGACUCUAUGAAGCUGGAAUCGCUAGUAAUCGCGCAUCAGCCAUGGCGCGGUGAAUACGUUCCCGGGCCUUGUACACACCGCCCGUCAAGCCAUGGAAGUCUGGGGUACCUGAAGUCGGUGACCGUAAAAGGAGCUGCCUAGGGUAAAA
rnacentral:rRNA from 1 species